GACGAACGCUGGCGGCGUGCUUAACACAUGCAAGUCGAACGGAAAGGCCCUGCUUGCAGGGUACUCGAGUGGCGAACGGGUGAGUAACACGUGGGUGAUCUGCCCUGCACUUCGGGAUAAGCCUGGGAAACUGGGUCUAAUACCGGAUAGGAGCCAUUUUUAGUGUGAUGGUUGGAAAGUUUUUUUCGGUGUAGGAUGAGCUCGCGGCCUAUCAGCUUGUUGGUGGGGUAAUGGCCUACCAAGGCGGCGACGGGUAGCCGGCCUGAGAGGGUGGAGGGCCACAUUGGGACUGAGAUACGGCCCAGACUCCUACGGGAGGCAGCAGUGGGGAAUAUUGCACAAUGGGCGCAAGCCUGAUGCAGCGACGCCGCGUGGGGGAUGACGGCCUUCGGGUUGUAAACUCCUUUCGCUAGGGACGAAGCUUUUUGUGACGGUACCUAGAUAAGAAGCACCGGCUAACUACGUG
rnacentral:rRNA from 1 species